GACGAACGCUUGCGGCGUGCUUAACACAUGCAAGUCGAACGGAAAGGCCCUGCUUUUGUGGGGUGCUCGAGUGGCGAACGGGUGAGUAACACGUGAGUAACCUGCCCUUGACUUUGGGAUAACUUCAGGAAACUGGGGCUAAUACCGGAUAGGAGCUCCUGCUGCAUGGUGGGGGUUGGAAAGUUUCGGCGGUUGGGGAUGGACUCGCGGCUUAUCAGCUUGUUGGUGGGGUAGUGGCUUACCAAGGCUUUGACGGGUAGCCGGCCUGAGAGGGUGACCGGCCACAUUGGGACUGAGAUACGGCCCAGACUCCUACGGGAGGCAGCAGUGGGGAAUAUUGCACAAUGGGCGGAAGCCUGAUGCAGCAACGCCGCGUGCGGGAUGACGGCCUUCGGGUUGUAAACCGCUUUCGCCUGUGACGAAGCGUGAGUGACGGUAAUGGGUAAAGAAGCACCGGCUAACUACGUGCCAGCAGCCGCGGUGAUACGUAGGGUGCGAGCGUUGUCCGGAUUUAUUGGGCGUAAAGGGCUCGUAGGUGGUUGAUCGCGUCGGAAGUGUAAUCUUGGGGCUUAACCCUGAGCGUGCUUUCGAUACGGGUUGACUUGAGGAAGGUAGGGGAGAAUGGAAUUCCUGGUGGAGCGGUGGAAUGCGCAGAUAACAGGAGGAACACCAGUGGCGAAGGCGGUUCUCUGGGCCUUUCCUGACGCUGAGGAGCGAAAGCGUGGGGAGCGAACAGGCUUAGAUACCCUGGUAGUCCACGCUGUAAACGGUGGGUACUAGGUGUGGGGUCCAUUCCACGGGUUCCGUGCCGUAGCUAACGCUUUAAGUACCCCGCCUGGGGAGUACAGCCGCAAGGCUAAAACUCAAAGGAAUUGACGGGGCCCCGCACAAGCGGCGGAGCAUGCGGAUUAAUUCGAUGCAACGCGUAGAACCUUACCUGGGUUUGACAUGGAUCGGGAGUGCUCAGAGAUGGGUGUGCCUCUUUUGGGGUCGGUUCACAGGUGGUGCAUGGCUGUCGUCAGCUCGUGUCGUGAGAUGUUGGGUUAAGUCCCGCAACGAGCGCAACCCUUGUUCACUGUUGCCAGCACGUUAUGGUGGGGACUCAGUGGAGACCGCCGGGGUCAACUCGGAGGAAGGUGGGGAUGACGUCAAGUCAUCAUGCCCCUUAUGUCCAGGGCUUCACGCAUGCUACAAUGGCUGGUACAGAGAGUGGCGAGCCUGUGAGGGUGAGCGAAUCUCGGAAAGCCGGUCUCAGUUCGGAUUGGGGUCUGCAACUCGACCUCAUGAAGUCGGAGUCGCUAGUAAUCGCAGAUCAGCAACGCUGCGGUGAAUACGUUCCCGGG
rnacentral:rRNA from 1 species